AUAGUAAACUGGCUUCCUGGGCUGAUUAUCACAGAUUAAGGAUCACUCUUGUGGUUUCCUGAUAUGGACUCACACGGGACUCUACAGUAAGCUCCAGGCUUUUGAGUUUUGACAGAUCCUUCAGAUCCAAACAUCCUUUUGUACUCUUCCACACCUGACUGUUGGUGGUCAUUUUAGAAAUGCUGGGAUAAAGAGAUCACAGAGCUGGAGGACCAUCUGACCUGGCUGGGAGACCCUGCAAAGGCACAGCCACUGGCCUCGGAGUUAGCAGAGUUCCUGACACAGCUCCACAUGGUGUGCUGCUCUGAUGAACAUCUUUAAAUGCGUUUCUCGGGGAUGAAUCCUGAGAAUAAGCUGACCUACCUGGAGAAGCUGAGUGGUCUCAGUGUCAUUCAACAGUGCCUGAUAUGAACUUCUCAUCAAGUACUCUUCUCCUAUUCUAGGUUAAACUUAUAAGAAAUUUAUGUUAUACAAUUUGCCUGUCCUGUCCUCUGAUUUAGGAUGUCUGCUUCUUGCUGGAUUGUAAGAGUAGCUUCUGCAUUUUAACCUUGAAUCCUUUGUCAGUUCUGCCCCUUGGAAAGUGGUGUCCUUUGCCAUUAUCACAGCAUUGUUAGCCCAACUACCUUGGUUUAGACACUAACUUCCUGUUUACUAGCACUGGGAUAUGACCGUUCCACUUCCUCACCUACAGGAAGGGGUUACAGCAGUGUCUCUCAGAGCCUACGAUGGUGAGGACCGAAUGAGCCCAUGCAUUCAAACCACUCAGAAUGGAGUUUAAUGUAGAGAGAGGAGCGCUUCAAUAAUUUUUUAGAAACUUAAAAAAAUUCUGCUUGCUCCAACUAUUUUCUCCUGCCCUUACCCUCACUCAGAUGAGCUCAUUCCCCAUCAGAGAUGCUUGUUGUAUUCUCUGGGGGAAGGAAACACGACAUAGCAACUUUUUCUUUCUAUGUGUUUACAUGUCUGGCCUAUAGGAGGUACUUGAUAAAUGUUUAUAAACUUGGGGAGUUGGGGUAUAGAUUCUUUGUAGAGCAUUUGCCUAACAUUUAUCAGGUCCUCAGUUUGAUCCCGAGUUAAAAAAUAAAAGUUUAAAGAAUGAAUGAGCAGAUGUUUUCAGUGCCAUAUGAUACCUCUCAUUAUUUAACUCUCUUUUUAUUUUCUAAAGAUACAGUCCUAUGCCUCUUUUUGGGUGGACACUUGCUUCUGCUGUCUCUGUGAUUGCAUCAUGAAAGGGCUCCCUCUGGACUUUGGAGAUACAGUUCCUUAUACAUUUUAAAUGCACCCCCAACAGACUGAAUUGCUUCACGCACUACAAAAGUCUGCAAACUUAAACACUUAUUCCUAAUUCCACCACGCAAUUCAAUUAUUGAAGCUCAGAUAUCCCUAUGGCAUAUGGAUAGGAAGACAUUACUCAUCUCUUGAUAAAACUUCUCUAAGGCUCAAAGAGAUCUGCUCAGAUUCUAAAAUGAAUUCAAGAUGGACUUAAGAUCAGACACUGAAUCCCUGACCUAUAUGUCACGUUCUUAAUUUUUUGCAUCCUAAAAUUUCAAAUUUUUUCAGAUUACUUCAAGAAAUUACCAUGAGUUUUAAGACUCUCCCAACUAAUGUACAAAAACUUGUUUCCAGCCAUGGCAUUUUCCAUUAAUUGGACAUAGAUUGGCAAUUCUGAUAGCAAUCCAUAAAGGCUAUAUUGUAGAACCAAAGGAGAAUGAUGAAGUAGAUAUUUAUGGAAUUUAGAAGAGCUCAAAGACUGGAAGGAGGAAGGGAGAUGAGCAAAAGAGGAAAUUACAUUGAAUGAUAAUUCAUAGUGGUUUUAUAACAUGCUAAAAUCUAGUAGAAAAUGUUAAAAUAAUUCAAAUGCUAAAUACUAUGGGUAAAAUUGUGAAGAUAAGUGAAAAAAAUGGAGAAAAUAAAGUGUGUUACAUUUCCUCCUUGCCAAAGUAGUAGAAACGAUGUAUAGUGACACCCGGUACUUGCUGUGUUCGUGUGUAAAUGAAAAAUCAUGAUCACCUUAUGAGCUCUUGCAAUAGUUCAGAUCUGGAAUGGCUGCCAAAGUCUCUGUGUUAAAGAUUUGGCCUCCAGCUGCUGACAUUCGGCAGAAAGGGAGCCUGGGCGAUGUGGGGCUUGUGGGGGCUUCUUAAGUAAUUGGGAUGCUCUAAAAGGGACAGUGAAAGUAGUAGGGGUGAAGGGAGGACAGGGGUAAAGGAAAAAUAAGAACCAAGACCUGUCAUGUAAGAGUUC